ensembl:snoRNA
UGGCAUAUCUGUGGCUUUGUUCAUUGCCAGAAAGGGGUGACGUAUGCAAGAGCAUUUUGGAGUUUAUGCCAGCUAGCCAGCUUACUUUGUAGCUGGAUAAAUUGCAGUACUCCAACAUUA